GGAAUUACAGUGCACUCUUCAGGGCCCAUACAGUAAAGGGUAGAAAAUGUUUCUUUGUGUAUGUAUAACAAACCUUAUUACUAAAUAAUAAUGCUCCUAAUCUUGGAUCAUUCAGGGUUAUUCACUAAAUUGUGAAUUCAAAGUUAUUUUUAAGUUCAGCUACUCUGGCCUUGUAUUCAUACCAACCAAAAUUUCAAAUGGAAAAAGAAGGAUACUUAAAUUACAUUCAACUGAAUUUGGGUGUGACCAGGGGUGGGUCUAAUCUGAGAAAUUUUAGGUGAUUUACUAAUAAUUAUUUAUGCAAACAACAUAAAUUAGAACAAGAUUGAUGUAUCUAAUUUACACACUAUGAUUUCUAAAUACAUUCAUUGUAGCUUUACAAGGAGGGACAUUGGGAUAGAAAAGAGGAUUUGGGCUCGAAAUAGGGACUCUCCCUCCUAAAUAGGGACACUUGGGAGGUAUGUAAAAUUGAAAUUCCCUUUGAAUUCUCAGUUUAGUAAAUAAGCCUGUUGGUCAGAGGCGGCUCUCUAAUUAGGUGGUUUAGGCUGCUGCCUAAGGCCUCGCGCUGGCUGGGGCCUCGCGACCGCCUAAACCGCCUGUGGGCAGACUGUGUCGGGUCCUUGGUUAGUGAGGUGUGUCU